UUUUUUUGCUUCCAUCUCAAGCGAUUAGAACAAUGGCUCUUUGGGGUUGCUGACCAGUAAAAGAGUGAGAAAGAGCUGGGGCAGGAAGACCUGAUGUUCAGCACUAAGUGAAGCAGACGGAACUGUUACAAGAACCCACAGAGACAGAACUCAAGGUCUCAGGACUCAAGGUCUCAGGACUCCCGAGAGUGUUUAAGCAGCCUGCUGAGAUCACAUUCAGAAAGGAACUCGGACUCCUGAUGGAGCCUGGAACAGGAUCUCCGAUGCAGCCAGCCUCACUAUUGUGCCACUAUGGUCCCUACGCUGCUGCGCAAACGGAGUCUGAGUCACUGGGAAGAGGCCAGGGCCUGGUGGGCUGCCCUAGGCUGGAGGAAGUCUGAAGGAGGAGGAGACUUUGCGUCCUGUGGGUGUUGAAAUGCUCAUGAGAGAUAAGUGAGGGGUAGAGAUGCUAUGAGACAAAUGAUACAGCGGGUGGCACAAACAUAAAGGACACACGCUGCCUCAGUCCCCUGAGUCACCAAUGAGUCAGCAUCUGGGGGCAGGACACACAGCCUUGGACUGUAUUUUGGAAAAGGGCAGUGAGAUAAAUUUCCAGACGUUCUCUCUGUUCUCGUCUGCCAUCAGCAACAGAAAGAACAACCAACAGCCAGAACAGUCACACAGAGGCCAAACUUUCAUAUUAAUUAAAAGCUGUGUAAUGAAUAUCUUGGCCAAUUUUUCAAUCACCAGGAGCUAUAAUUGGCCCCAGUAAGAGACUGCUUCGAGCCAAAGACAAUGCAGGGCCUGAGCUGCAUGCAGAUCAUAGUUUACAUUCUGGUUCUGCCGUGCACAAACAUGCAGUAUGGGAAGGUAACAUUACCUCUUUAACACACCUUGAGAGAGCUACCUCUAUCCCAGAUAUAGGAACACAUGCUGGUUAGCAUGCAAGACGCCAUAUCCAAUGUUCAAUAAAGGACAAUAGCAACAGUGUGGGAGUCACAAAAUGCUCAUGCUAUGUAUUUCUCUCUCCUGUGAUUGCUGGAAUCCAAGUGUUAGACAUAAGCCCCAUUCCUGUUCCGGAAAGCGACUAAUUCUGUGAAGAAUGCCCAGGAAGGAGGAAGAGAUUCUUCAAGGAUAUGACAAAAAAAAAGUCAUGGUAUUUUGAUGCCAACACCCAUGAGACAGGGAGAGACAACAGCAAAACAAAUGCAUGGCCUGACAUGACCUGUUCCAGGAGAGGGCGCUGAGGAGCAAAACAGUCUGAGAGGGCUCGUAAGAUGAGAGGAUGGCAGCUGUGGACACCCACUAUUUAUUCAUGUGUCGCAACUGAACCUCCUCUGACCUCUAUUACUCCUCCAAAUAGUAUCCUUCAGGUCCCCAACGUAUUCUGAAAAGCCCAUGAUAAGUGUGGCCCCUUUAAUUCAAGACCUCCACAUAGCCAUCUGAAUGUCUAAACUGCAGAUCUGAAGUCUAGAGUCUUAUCUAGAAUAAUUGUCUCACAGAACUCAAGAGGAAACUGUAAAAGCUUUGCCAAAAAAAGGAAGAGGGAGAAGGCUGGGGAGAUGGCUUAGUUGAUGAUGUGCUUGCCUUAUAAGCACUUUAUAAGCAUAAGGACUUGAGGUCACCCCCCAGCGCCCAUGUUAAAAACACCAGGUGUAGAAGCCAUAUGUCUGCAGUCACAGCCCUGGAGAAGCAGAGGCAGGAGAAUCUUUGGGGCUUACACCAAGUGUGGCUGAAUUGUUGAGUUCUCUGUUCAGUGAAAGACUCCAUCAAAAGAUAACUUGGAGAGUGUGUGAUGAUUUGUUCUAAUUGUCAACUUGACACAAUCUAGGGAGUCUCGAUGGGCAAUUUUCUGGAUCUGAUUGGCAUGUCUUUGGAAGUUAUUUUGAUUAUUUUAAUUGAAUUAGGAAGACCUACCCACUGUGGUUGGUACCAUUCUCUAGGCAGAGGAUCCUGAACUGGGCAGGAGUGGAGAAAGCAAGCUGCCCUUGACUGUGAAUGUGGCUAGCUGCUUCAGAUUCUUAGUAUCUUGACUUUUCUGCUAUGAUGGACUCUAACCUGGAAUUGUGAGUGAAAAUAAAUCCUUUCUUCCCCUAGUUGUUUUUGCCGGGGUAUUUUAUCACAGCAUCAGGAAACAAAACUAAGACAGAGUCAGGAUGAUUAUAGAAGGCACCUAAGUUGACUUCUGUCCUCACUGCACACAUAUGCACCUACACACACACACACACACACACACACACACACACACACACACACACGUAUCCACACAUACACAAAUGAUUAAAAAAGAAAACACUAGCAAGAGGGGCUAGUUCUUGCUGCACUGGCUGUACUUGCAGAGGACCCAGGCUUGGUUUCCAGCACCCAUAUGGAGGCUUCAAGCUGUAACUCCAAUUCCAGUGGAUCUGACUCCCUCUUCUGGCUUCCACAGGUAUCAGAUGUGCACACAUGUGGUGUACUUACACACAGGCAGCCUACACAUCCAUACACAUUAAAUAACAAUCUUCAAAAACCAAAAUCUUGCAAGAUCAAGAGUUUAUGAUUUGGCUUCAUGGAUGAGUUUAGGAGAGAUAACAGAAAGAUGACAGAAAGACAAACAGAUGGAUGGAUGGAUGGAUGGAUGAAUGGAUGGAUGGAUGGAUGGAUGGAUGGGCAGGUGAUAGAUGAUGGACUGACAUGAUAAUGCUUUAGAAUUUCAGUAGUAUUUUAUGCUGUGUGUGUACAUGUGUGUAUUUGCCUGUAGGCAUGUACUUUUUCUUUUCUUCUGGAGCUAGUUGUGCUGUAUUAAGCCCUUGUGAAGCAGAAUAUUCUCCAAAGACUCAGAUAAAAUGAAUGAUUUCAACGAGGACUCAGCAGACGGCAACCUACAAGUCACACUGAGCCUACUGCCCACUCUGCUAAGCAGAGCUGGAUUUACCUGUUGUGGAGGCUGAUUCUCACUGCAGUAGAGCUGACUAGUCAUGGUGAUCACAUGGCCCAUACGGCCUAGGACGGAUGACUGCCUUGUUCUUUACAGAAAAGUGGUGGUGACCUCAAAUUGAGUUGCUAUUUUUAGAACCAUCCAUCAUGGCUAAGCAGCUGCUGGCCAAUAAUUCACCAGAUAUCUAAAAGUGGCCAAAUGAUGUUAUAAUACCAUCUCUCCUGCUCCAAUUGGUCAGUUACCUGUUCUAGCUUGACUCUCUUCUUUGGAAUUAAGAGUGGUGAGAACUCUCCGGAAGCUUCCUGGGCCAGGCUUUCUUUUCAAACUACCAGAGUAGAGGCACUUGGGCAACAGAAUUGUUACACUCUAAAUAAUUCAAACAGGCUCUGUAGCUGCUGGCUCCAACCCAAAUAUGAGCAGUUAUAAUUAACAGCAAUGAACUUAAAAGACAGUUCGGAAUGUGCUAAUGCUGUCGGCAUGUCACAGCAAAGCUGCAGCCCCACGUGAUGUCCUCUUUUCUCAGCCCACAAUGUCUGUCCAAAUAGAGAAACACCCCAUGAGCAUUUAAAAAUAAUGCUAUCGAUCAGACUGCUGGAAGACUGGGUUUUCUUUCUCUUUAUUCUUUUUACUUAAGUACCUUUUUUUGCCAACACAGUACAUUUUCCCCCUUGGGCUGCAACCUAGGUGGACAAAAUAUGUUUGCACCAUUUUAAUACACUUUAGUUUGCUUGCAUACAUUUUUAAAGCAUGUUUUCAUCGACAUAUGUUAAUUUUAUCAUCUUUAAUUUUUUCCCUUUUUUUAGUUUUGAUCACUCUCUUUUUGCUUACUUAUUGGAAGAUCAGCUCCUGUGUACAGAUUGUAGCUGCAUGUCCAUACUUCUCCUUCACUAUGCAGAAAAAUCUAUGAACAUUAGAUUGCAUUCAAUAUGCCCAAAGCUUUGUAUUUUAUCCAGCUCAGGUUUCCCAUGCUUGGAAACUUAAGAACCGCCUGCUUUAAAUGACCCUGCUGAUUCAUACUGGAAGCUACCUUGCUGUGGCUAGGAAUAAGAUUUGCAUGAAAAUAACUGUCUCUUGGGUAGAGGGAAGGAAUGUAGUCACCUCUCAGGACCCAUGGAGGACUAGUACCAAGAUCCCUGUGCGUAUCAAAAGCUGUAUAUGCUCAAACCUCUAAAAAAAAAUGACACAGCCUGCACAUACCCUUUCAUAUACUUCCAACCAUCUCCAGAGUGCUUAUAACACAAAAUACAGAGCAGUUGAUAGUUAUCAAGUAUGAGUCAUCAAAUCAUGACAAGGAAAGCAACUGUGUUUGUCAGAGAUUCAGUUUCCCCUCGGGGUUGGUUGAGUCCACAGGUACUGGUGCUAUGGGUAUGGGCAGGAUGUGGGACAGCUAUAUUUGUAAACCUAAUCUUAAUACCCAGGAGAUCAUCAGGAGCCAUAUUCUAUUCAACAGUGUGACACGAGCUAGAAUUUCUGGGCCCUUCUCUUUGGGUUGCCAUGCAGCCCUUACUUCACUUUCCAGUCUAGGUUUACUAAGCAGGGCUGCCAGACAGGGAUAGCCUCUUUCUGGGAGCUGUUUGUGAACAUAUUUUUUCAUCCUACAUCAGUGUUACCCACACUUAGUAGCAUGUUGUUCAGAUAAAUGUUUCUUAAAUUGCUCAAAAUAAGGAUCUAAAAAUCUGUU